rnacentral:rRNA from 1 species
AUACGGAGGGUGCAAGCGUUAUCCGGAUUUACUGGGUUUAAAGGGUACGCAGGCGGUAAUUUAAGUCAGUGGUGAAAGCCUACAGCUCAACUGUAGAACUGCCAUUGAAACUGAAUUACUCGAGUAUGGUAGAGGUAGGCGGAAUACAACAUGUAGCGGUGAAAUGCAUAGAUAUGUUGUAGAACACCGAUUGCGAAGGCAGCUUACUAAACCAUUACUGACGCUCAUGUACGAAAGCGUGGGGAGCGAACAGGAUUAGAAACCCUAGUAGUCC